rnacentral:rRNA from 1 species
GACGAACGCUGGCGGCGUGCCUAAUACAUGCAAGUAGAACGCACAGUUUAUACCGUAGCUUGCUACAACAUAGACUGUGAGUUGCGAACGGGUGAGUAACGCGUAGGUAACCUGCCUGGUAGCGUGGGAUAACUAUUGGAAACGAUAGCUAAUACCGCAUAAUAUUGAUUAUUGCAUGAUAAUUGACUGAAAGAUGCUAUUGCAUCACUACCAGAUGGACUUGCGUUGUAUUAGCUAGUAUGUGAGGUAACGGCUCACCUAGGCUACGAUACAUAGCCGACCUGCGAGGGUGAUCGGCCACACUGGGAGUGAGACACGGCCCAGACUCCUACGGGAGGCAGAAGUAGGGAAUCUUCGGCAAUGGACGAAAGUCUGACCGAGCAACGCCGCGUGAGUGAAGAAGGUUUUCGGAUCGUAAAGCUCUGUUGUAAGAGAAGAACGGGUGUGAGAGUGGAAAGUUCACACUGUGACGGUAUCUUACCAGAAAGGGACGGCUAACUACGUG